UGUUUGUUAGAGAAAAGAAGAGAUAACUUGACACUAGAAGUAGCUCCCCUGGCUGUAGAUUGCAGGUCCACAGUUGAUCCUAAAUGGGAAGAAUGCUGAAGAAAUCCAGUGGAGCUUUAUUCAUGUUCUUGUGGCUGCAGCUGGAAUGCGUCAGCAGAGGAGAGAAUGUGAAUCAGCGUCCUCCUUCCCUGAGUGUCCAGGAGGGAAGCAGCUCUGUUAUGAACUGUUCUUAUUCUGACAGUGCCUCAAACUACUUCCCUUGGUAUAAGCAAGAAGGUGGCAAAGGUCCCCAGCUCAUUAUAUCCAUUCGUUCAGUUAAGGACAAAACCAAAGAUGGAAGAUUCACUGUUUUAUUGAAUAAGACGGACAAACAGCUCUCCCUGCACAUCGAGGCCACCCAGCCUGGAGACGCAGCUGUGUACUUCUGUGCAGCGAGUGCACAUUGCUUCCCAGGCACCUGCAACCUGUACGCAAACCUGCGAGUGGAGCCACUGCUCUCUUUUGGGACAGACCUUAAAGCAUAGAUAGUGUUUGUCAUAUUUUGUCUACAAGUGGAAACUAAUGUGUUGGUUGUUAAAAACACAUAGUAAGUACGUUAGGCUCAAGAUGAUCCAGGAAGGGUUAGAACAUUUUCUUGGAUGACUGUUGCUUAGUG